GAUGAACGCUAGCGAUAGGCUUAACACAUGCAAGUCGAGGGGCAGCAUGGUCUUAGCUUGCUAAGACUGAUGGCGACCGGCGCACGGGUGCGUAACGCGUAUGCAACUUGCCUCACAGAGGGGGAUAACCCGUCGAAAGACGGACUAAUACCGCGUACACUCUAUUUUGGGCAUCCAAGGUAGAGGAAAUGAAAUUCGCUGUGAGAUAGGCAUGCGUCCCAUUAGCUAGUUGGUGAGGUAACGGCUCACCAAGGCGACGAUGGGUAGGGGAACUGAGAGGUUGAACCCCCACACUGGUACGGAGACACGGACCAGACUCCUACGGGAGGCAGCAGUGAGGAAUAUUGGUCAAUGGGCGAGGGCCUGAACCAGCCAAGUCGCGUGAAGGAUGACUGUCUUAUGGAUUGUAAACUUCUUUUGUAGGGGAAUAAAGAGGGGCACGUGUGCCCCAGUGAAUGUACCCUACGAAUAAGCAUCGGCUAACUCCGUG
rnacentral:rRNA from 1 species